AACGUAGACCUCAAGCGUUAUCCGGAUUUAUUGGGCGUAAAGCGCGUGUAGGGGGUUCUAUGCGUCUUAUGUUAAAGGCCACUGCUCAACGGUGGACAUGCAUAAGAUACGAUAGAACUAGAGGAAGUUAGAGGUGCUAGGAACGCAUGGUGUAGGGGUGAAAUCCGUUGAUAUCAUGCGGAACACCAAAGGCGAAGGCAAGGCACUGGGACUUUCCUGACCCUGAGACGCGAAAGCGUGGGGAGCAAAAAGG
rnacentral:rRNA from 1 species